rnacentral:rRNA from 1 species
GACGAACGCUGGCGGCGUGCCUAAUACAUGCAAGUCGAACGAAGCUGUUUUAACUGGUGCUUGCACCGACUUAAACAACUGAGUGGCGAACGGGUGAGUAACACGUGGGUAACCUGCCCCAAAGCGGGGGAUAACAUUUGGAAACAGAUGCUAAUACCGCAUAACCACAGAAACCACAUGGUUUCUGUGUCAAAGAUGGUUUCGGCUAUCACUUUAGGAUGGACCCGCGGCGUAUUAGCUAGUUGGUAAGGUAAUGGCUUACCAAGGCAAUGAUACGUAGCCGAACUGAGAGGUUGAUCGGCCACAUUGGGACUGAGACACGGCCCAAACUCCUACGGGAGGCAGCAGUAGGGGAUCUUCCACAAUGGACGAAAGUCUGAUGGAGCAACGCCGCGUGAGUGAAGAAGGUUUUCGGAUCGUAAAACUCUGUUGUCAGAGAAGAACGUGUGCGAGAGUAACUGCUCGUGCAGUGACGGUAUCUGGCCAAAAAGCCACGGCUAACUACGUGCCAGCCGCCGCUGUAA